GGCCUGCCUGACACUCUUUCCCUGUUGCACUACUGUGCGCCCCUGGCAAG
rnacentral:miRNA from 1 species